rnacentral:rRNA from 1 species
CGCUGGCGGCAGGCCUAACACAUGCAAGUCGAACGAGUAAGAGCCGUAGCAAUACGGAGUUCUGCUAGUGGCGCACGGGUGAGUAACGCGUGGGAACGUGCCUUGGAGUUCGGGAUAACAGUUGGAAACGACUGCUAAUACCGAAUAUUCCCUCAGGGGGGAAAGAUUUAUCGCUCCAAGAUCGGCCCGCGUAAGAUUAGGUAGUUGGUGGGGUAAUGGCCUACCAAGCCUACGAUCUUUAGCUGGUCUGAGAGGACGACCAGCCACACUGGAACUGAGACACGGUCCAGACUCCUACGGGAGGCAGCAGUGGGGAAUAUUGGACAAUGGGCGAAAGCCUGAUCCAGCCAUGCCGCGUGAAUGAUGAAGGCCUUAGGGUUGUAAAAUUCUUUUGCAGGGGAAGAUAAUAACGGUACCCUGCGAAUAAGCUCCGGCUAACUUCGUG